GUGAGGGGUGGGAAAGUGUGUUUCUCUGCUUAUCAGGUGCUCUGCUUUCUGUUGAGAGCUCUGUGAAGUUGCCUUCCCAUACUCCCUGUCCAGGUGUUUCAAGAUGGCUACACUGUGCCAUGUUAGUUGGUAGAGGACCUCCACUCUGUAUCUCUCUUCAUUUGUUGUUUUCCAUCAGUUUCUUCUUCCAUUCAGUGUUUGAUCUAGUUCUUUAUCCCUUCAUUUCAUGCUCAGAUUUCCAAGAUUGAUGUUUAUAACUGGUUUACUUAGUUUUUCAUGUCAUUACUACAGAGGGACAGUAUGAUGUGUCUGUCUAGGGCUCCAUGUUGACUCUGCCUCCCUUUUGUGAGUUUUAAUCAGGAUUUUCAACCGGCCAAUCAGCCUCUAACUGGCCCUAUUUGAUUGUGGCAGUAGCAGCUGCCACCAGAGCACCCCCCUUCUCAAAUAUACACACCCUUCAGUAGGGCAUCUACCCAAGAGCUCUAGGGACUCAGUACUCUGGGGGUUAAAUAUACCUGUUUCUUCCCUAAAAAGGUUAUAGACACUUAGUUUAUAACAUCUGCAUAAAAUUCAAGGAGUCUAGACCUUCCCUUGCCAUAGUUUCAGGGAUUGCCAAGAAGAAUGAAAAAGCUUUUUUUUUUUUUUAACUUGUAAGUCUGUGGGGAAUAGCUAAUUGAGGAAUUUUCUUUGAAGUGAAAAAGCACAGCUGAAAAUCUGGGGCAUAAUCUCCAUCUCAUUAAAUAGCUAUUCCAAGAAUAAGAGACCCCAAAAGUUGCCCUACUUGGCUCUGCAGUUGGUGACUUGCAGGCUGUGGCUUUGAUGUAGCAAUGACAGAAAGGACCUCUGUUCAUUAUAGAUCAAAAGACCUUCCCCAUCUGCCCCUUCCCCUGCUGCAGGUGCCAGUUAUGCAGAGUCAUCUCAAGUGCUCCUACUGUAUCAAGACUUUCUGCUUACUAAUACUUUCCUGGAAAUUCACUUCAAAAGACGGAAACAUGCCUAAAUGUUAGUACAGACAUCACUCAAAAAUAACACCCUUGGGCCUACUCAACUGAUAGAACUGUGAACCCUUCCUCAGACUCGAGGCUGACUGAGAGAAAUGCUGGGAUUUGGGCACUUGGUAUCCCAGUGAUUUUCAAAAGCACCUGGUUUUUAUUUGGCUUACUAUAAAUAUUUGUUAUAAAAAUCAAUGAACACACAAGAGAAUGAAUGAAGAGAGUCAAUAAUGCAAGAUUACA